GGGUUGUGAGGUUAAGCGACUAAGCGUACACGGUGGAUGCCCUGGCAGUCAGAGGCGAUGAAGGACGUGCUAAUCUGCGAUAAGCGCCGGUAAGGUGAUAUGAACCGUUAUAACCGGCGAUUUCCGAAUGGGGAAACCCAGUGUGACUCGUCACACUAUCAUUAACUGAAUCCAUAGGUUAAUGAGGCGAACCGGGGGAACUGAAACAUCUAAGUACCCCGAGGAAAAGAAAUCAACCGAGAUUCCCCCAGUAGCGGCGAGCGAACGGGGAGGAGCCCAGAGCCUGAAUCAGCAUGUGUGUUAGUGGAAGCGUCUGGAAAGGCGCGCGAUACAGGGUGACAGCCCCGUACACAAAAGCGCAUGUGCUGUGAGCUCGAUGAGUAGGGCGGGACACGUGGUAUCCUGUCUGAAUAUGGGGGGACCAUCCUCCAAGGCUAAAUACUCCUGACUGACCGAUAGUGAACCAGUACCGUGAGGGAAAGGCGAAAAGAACCCCGGCGAGGGGAGUGAAAAAGAACCUGAAACCGUGUACGUACAAGCAGUGGGAGCACCCUUUGGGGUGUGACUGCGUACCUUUUGUAUAAUGGGUCAGCGACUUAUAUUCUGUAGCAAGGUUAACCGAAUAGGGGAGCCGGAGGGAAACCGAGUCUUAACCGGGCGUUAAGUUGCAGGGUAUAGACCCGAAACCCGGUGAUCUAGCCAUGGGCAGGUUGAAGGUUGGGUAACACUAACUGGAGGACCGAACCGACUAAUGUUGAAAAAUUAGCGGAUGACCUGUGGCUGGGGGUGAAAGGCCAAUCAAACCGGGAGAUAGCUGGUUCUCCCCGAAAGCUAUUUAGGUAGCGCCUCGUGAAUUCAUCUCCGGGGGUAGAGCACUGUUUCGGCUAGGGGGCCAUCCCGGCUUACCAACCCGAUGCAAACUGCGAAUACCGGAGAAUGUUAUCACGGGAGACACACGGCGGGUGCUAACGUCCGUCGUGAAGAGGGAAACAACCCAGACCGCCAGCUAAGGUCCCAAAGUCAUGGUUAAGUGGGAAACGAUGUGGGAAGGCCCAGACAGCCAGGAUGUUGGCUUAGAAGCAGCCAUCAUUUAAAGAAAGCGUAAUAGCUCACUGGUCGAGUCGGCCUGCGCGGAAGAUGUAACGGGGCUAAACCAUGCACCGAAGCUGCGGCAGCGACGCUGAUGCGUUGUUGGGUAGGGGAGCGUUCUGUAAGCCUGCGAAGGUGUGUCGUGAGGCAUGCUGGAGGUAUCAGAAGUGCGAAUGCUGACAUAAGUAACGAUAAAGCGGGUGAAAAGCCCGCUCGCCGGAAGACCAAGGGUUCCUGUCCAACGUUAAUCGGGGCAGGGUGAGUCGACCCCUAAGGCGAGGCCGAAAGGCGUAGUCGAUGGGAAACGGGUUAAUAUUCCCGUACUUGGUGUUACUGCGAAGGGGGGACGGAGAAGGCUAUGUUGGCCGGGCGACGGUUGUCCCGGUUUAAGCGUGUAGGUGUGUGUUCCAGGUAAAUCCGGUUCACUUUAACACUGAGGCGUGAUGACGAGGCACUACGGUGCUGAAGCAACAAAUGCCCUGCUUCCAGGAAAAGCCUCUAAGCAUCAGGUAACAUCAAAUCGUACCCCAAACCGACACAGGUGGUCAGGUAGAGAAUACCAAGGCGCUUGAGAGAACUCGGGUGAAGGAACUAGGCAAAAUGGUGCCGUAACUUCGGGAGAAGGCACGCUGACACGUAGGUGAAGUGAUUUACUCAUGGAGCUGAAGUCAGUCGAAGAUACCAGCUGGCUGCAACUGUUUAUUAAAAACACAGCACUGUGCAAACACGAAAGUGGACGUAUACGGUGUGACGCCUGCCCGGUGCCGGAAGGUUAAUUGAUGGGGUCAGCGCAAGCGAAGCUCCUGAUCGAAGCCCCGGUAAACGGCGGCCGUAACUAUAACGGUCCUAAGGUAGCGAAAUUCCUUGUCGGGUAAGUUCCGACCUGCACGAAUGGCGUAAUGAUGGCCAGGCUGUCUCCACCCGAGACUCAGUGAAAUUGAACUCGCUGUGAAGAUGCAGUGUACCCGCGGCAAGACGGAAAGACCCCGUGAACCUUUACUAUAGCUUGACACUGAACAUUGAGCCUUGAUGUGUAGGAUAGGUGGGAGGCUUUGAAGUGUGGACGCCAGUCUGCAUGGAGCCGGCCUUGAAAUACCACCCUUUAAUGUUUGAUGUUCUAACGUGGACCCGUGAUCCGGGUUGCGGACAGUGUCUGGUGGGUAGUUUGACUGGGGCGGUCUCCUCCUAAAGAGUAACGGAGGAGCACGAAGGUUGGCUAAUCCUGGUCGGACAUCAGGAGGUUAGUGCAAUGGCAUAAGCCAGCUUGACUGCGAGCGUGACGGCGCGAGCAGGUGCGAAAGCAGGUCAUAGUGAUCCGGUGGUUCUGAAUGGAAGGGCCAUCGCUCAACGGAUAAAAGGUACUCCGGGGAUAACAGGCUGAUACCGCCCAAGAGUUCAUAUCGACGGCGGUGUUUGGCACCUCGAUGUCGGCUCAUCACAUCCUGGGGCUGAAGUAGGUCCCAAGGGUAUGGCUGUUCGCCAUUUAAAGUGGUACGCGAGCUGGGUUUAGAACGUCGUGAGACAGUUCGGUCCCUAUCUGCCGUGGGCGCUGGAGAACUGAGGGGGGCUGCUCCUAGUACGAGAGGACCGGAGUGGACGCAUCACUGGUGUUCGGGUUGUCAUGCCAAUGGCACUGCCCGGUAGCUAAAUGCGGAAGAGAUAAGUGCUGAAAGCAUCUAAGCACGAAACUUGCCCCGAGAUGAGUUCUCCCUGAGACUUAGAGUCUCCUGAAGGAACGUUGAAGACGACGACGUUGAUAGGCCGGGUGUGUAAGCGCAGCGAUGCGUUGAGCUAACCGGUACUAAUGAACCGUGAGGCUUAACCUUACAACGCCGAAG
rnacentral:rRNA from 1 species